AGAGGAAGUAAAAGUCGUAACAAGGUUUCCGUAGGUGAACCUGCGGAAGGAUCAUUAGUGAAUUAGAAGCCAUUCACUACGCAUGGGCGAAUGGUGAAGGAUGAUGACCUAAGCCGUUUACGGAAGAGGCAUAUAAAAAUCAUAUUUGUGUAUUGAGGAAAUACGUAUCGCGUUGUAACUUUUAAGUAUAAAGUUUGGCGUGUGUCGCUGACAAGUACGUUGUCGGUUUGACAUUUCCUUCAAGUGUGUGCUAUAGAGUAGUGAACUUUGCAAGACUCAAUAUGGAGGAUCACUUAGUCCUUUGAGCGAUGAAAAACGUAGUAAUUUGUGGAAACUGAUGUGAGUUGUGAAAUUUUGUGAGCAUUGUGUUUUUGAAUGAAAAUUUUAGUACAGAUGCGAAUGUAUCUAUGCUGCAUUUGUUUCAGUAUACAAAACUAGCAUAAAGUAGUUACUAUUGCUACAACGCAUUAGUAGAAAUUUUUCAUGAUCACAAGAGUGAUAACAAGCGAUGCAGUUGACGUGUAUCUGAAAUCAAGUGUGAUUACCCCCUGAAUUUAAGCAUAU
rnacentral:misc_RNA from 1 species